rnacentral:rRNA from 1 species
GACAGAGGGUGCAAGCGUUGUUCGGAAUUAUUGGGCGUAAAGCGCGCGUAGGCGGCCGAUUAAGUCGCAUGUGAAGGCCCAGGGCUCAACCCUGGAAGUGCAUGCGAUACUGAUUGGCUAGAGUCCUGGAGAGGGUGGUGGAAUUCCUGGUGUAGAGGUGAAAUUCGUAGAUAUCAGGAGGAACACCGGUGGCGAAGGCGACCGCCUGGACAGGUACUGACGCUGAGGUGCGAAAGCGUGGGGAGCAAACAGG